rnacentral:tRNA from 1 species
UUAAUUGAAACCAAAAUAGAGGUAUAUUACUGUUAAUAAUAUUAAUGAAAAAAAUAUUUCCAAUUAAA